rnacentral:rRNA from 1 species
UACGGAGGGGGCGAGCGUUAUUCGGAGUUAUUGGGCGUAAAGGGCGCGUAGGCGGCGCGAUAAGUCAAAGGUGAAAUCCCUCGGCUCAACUGAGGAACUGCCUUUGAAACUGUCGUGCUUGAGGCCGGGAGGGGGUAGCGGAAUUCCCAGUGUAGCGGUGAAAUGCGUAGAUAUUGGGAGGAACACCAGUGGCGAAGGCGGCUACCUGGACCGGUUCUGACGCUGAUGCGCGAAAGCGUGGGUAGCAAACAGG